rnacentral:lncRNA from 1 species
UUUUGCAAUGUUCCUCACUGUUGUCCUCAGGAUUCAGGAUGGGAUAGAUGGACUCCUGUACAACAGACCCUGUUUAUAGAUAUAAAGACAGGAAGACCAAAUAAAAAGUAUGAUGGAAAGGUUAUGAAGGAUGGAUACACCUUAAUUAUCCAAAAUCUGACCGAAAAUGAUCUUAAUGUCUCAUAUUCCUGUUUGUAUGGUGUAACUUUA